AGAGAAGCAAGAAUGGUCAGAUGAGAUAUGGGGUCCCUGCAUCCCUUCUCUGGUGAGGACAGACAUGGGGCCUGGCACUCCGUGUGCCUGGCAUGGUGAGCCCUCUAUGGAGCUCACACUGCACACUGAAAGGAAGAGCUGGGACCCAGUCCAUCACAGAGACACUGUGCAGCCACCAGGAGUGGGAGCAGGUGAGCAGAAGCUCUGAUCCCAACCCCCUCAGCCAGGCAAGGAGAUGAGGUGAGGACACCAUGCCUUCCCCAAGCCUCCCCUUCCCUGCACCUACAUUGGGAAAGUCCAGGCCCAGCUUGAAUUUGUCAUUCAGCCACUGGCUUUGGUCAUAAUCAGGAGCUGUAGACAAGACGAUGUGAAAAGAGAUCACCCAAGUCUAAGCCUCCUGCC